GAUGAACGCUAGCGGCGUGCCUAAUACAUGCAAGUCGAGCGAACGGACGAGAAGCUUGCUUCUCUGAUGUUAGCGGCGGACGGGUGAGUAACACGUGGAUAACCUACCUAUAAGACUGGGAUAACUUCGGGAAACCGGAGCUAAUACCGGAUAAUAUUUUGAACCGCAUGGUUCAAAAGUGAAAGACGGUCUUGCUGUCACUUAUAGAUGGAUCCGCGCUGCAUUAGCUAGUUGGUAAGGUAACGGCUUACCAAGGCAACGAUGCAUAGCCGACCUGAGAGGGUGAUCGGCCACACUGGAACUGAGACACGGUCCAGACUCCUACGGGAGGCAGCAGUAGGGAAUCUUCCGCAAAGGGCGAAAGCCUGACGGAGCAACGCCGCGUGAGUGAUGAAGGUCUUCGGAUCGUAAAACUCUGUUAUUAGGGAAGAACAUAUGUGUAAGUAACUGUGCACAUCUUGACGGUACCUAAUCAGAAAGCCACGGCUAACUACGUG
rnacentral:rRNA from 1 species